rnacentral:rRNA from 1 species
AUUGAACGCUGGCGGCAGGCCUAACACAUGCAAGUCGAACGAGUGGCGGACGGGUGAGUAAUGUCUGUGACACUGCCCGAUGGAGGGGGAUAAGUACUGGAAACGGUAGCUAAUAACGCAUACCAUCGGAUGUGCCCAGAUGGGAGUAGCUAGUAGGAGGGGUAACGGCUCACCUAGGCGACGAUCCCUAGCUGGUCUGAGAGGAUGACCAGCCACACUGGACAUGAGACACGGUCCAGACUCCUACGUGAGGCAGCAGUGGGGAAUAUUGCACAAUGGGCGCAAGCCUGAUGCAGCCAUGCCGCGUGUAUGAAGAAGGCCUUCGGGUUGUAAAGUACUUUCAGCGAGGAGGCGUUACUCGCAGAAGAAGCACCGGCUAACUCCGUGCCAGCAGCCGCGGUAAUUC